UACAGAGGUCCCGAGCGUUGUUCGGAUUCACUGGGCGUAAAGGGUGCGUAGGUGGUGGAGUAAGUUUGAUGUGAAAUCUCCGGGCUUAACCCGGAAACUGCAUUGAAUACUAUUUUGCUGGAGGUUUGGAGGGGGGACUGGAAUUCUAGGUGUAGCAGUGAAAUGCGUAGAUAUCGAGAGGAACACCAGUGGCGAAGGCGAGUCCCUGGACAACACCUGACACUGAGGCACGAAAGCUAGGGGAGCAAACAGG
rnacentral:rRNA from 1 species